AGAUCUACAGGAUUUUCCCAAAGAAGAAGCACUCCAUAGAUUUCGAGUGAGUGAUUAUUUAGAAUACAUGGAAAGCUUGGAGGCAACCUACAGGCCAGUGCUGCUGAGAGACAUGAGGAACAUUAGAAUGCAGAACACAUAGAUCAAGCAAACAAGCAUUUCAUCUUCAAGCUUUAGUUACGUUCUGAAAGGAAGUGCUGAUUGUUUUAUAUCAGUCUCCAUAAAAAUUCAUGCUGUGGAAAUAUACAUAUGUUAAAAACCAUAAUAAAUGUUUUCAGAAUAUAGGUUUUUCAAGGGGACAUCAUCUGAAUUGGAUCAACUGAAAAAUAACUUAUUUCUCCAUACUGUACGUACUGCCUUAUUUUUAUUUGGUAGAUUGCUUGAGAAUCUGCCCAUAGCUAACGUAGGGGUCUUGUUUGUAUUCUCUGGAAGCUGUUCCCAAACUAAUACAUUUUGGUCAUCUCCUACCCACACCAUCUUACCUAAAACUUUAAAAUUCUGCACAGGUCUGGCAAUAAGAAGCAGUACUGAGAAUAAUCACUUGAGUAUCCUGUAGUUAUGUGAAUGGGGAUGAGCAAAAGCAAAGCAGCUUUGCUGGAUGCAGCUGAUCUGACCUUGUGGUUUUGGCUGAGGAAGAAUAGUUAAAUACAAGUGGAACAAAGGACUGAUACUGCCCUCAGCCAUAAUGGUUUCUAUACUAUAAAUAUAUAUUUGUAAUCUUAUAUGCUCAUUUUAUAUUCUCAGAAUGGAUAAAGGGGAAGGCAGAUUACUAAAAUAUGCAGUAUUCAGUACAGUCAUUUUAUCGAUUGGUUUGAUUUGUACAUAUUACCAUUAUAUAAAAAAAACUCACAUUGAUAAAAGCAAGGUGAUUCUGAGGUAAAUAAAUGAGCAGUGUGGAUUACUCUUCUGUCCGAUCUGGAGUCAACUUCAGAAAACAUGUCAAAGAAGAUGAGUGUGACAUCAAUUCUGGAAAUUAGUGAUGCAUUUGUGCUUUUAUACAAUGAUUGAUUUCAACAUUCCGAAAUUGUGUUUUGGGGUAUAUAAGCCUGGGUUUCUGAAACAUAAGUCAAAAUAAUUUUGUUAUGUGUCACUAAUACAAAAAAUGGAAAUUAAUCUAAAAUACUUUUUGCAAAAUGUUCAUUAAGGUUCAUUUACUUGUUUUAUCUUUUCUGUUCAUUCAUCUUCGACAGUUAAAAUACUGACUUGAAAAUUGGAGUAUAUAAAAAUAAUUCCAUUACACUGUAACCUAUAGUUCUGUUAUUACAAUAGCAUGGCAGGUCUAUAAAAAAAAAUUCAGUGAGUUAGCUUGACAUACUGGACUUUUUGCCCUAACUGAUAUGAAUUUAACAAAGGAGCCCUAAAAAUGGUACUAAAAGCACAAGAACUACUUUUAAAAUUACAUUUUCCAAACUUGUUUCCCAAUGUAUAAUAUAAGUUUAUGGUUCCCUUUCUUCCCAUUAUACCGGUGAGUUAUUGUAUUUGGUGUAGAGAAUCUUGCUGUGCUUUGUUACUGUUUUUAAAAAGCUGCAUCACAGUAACAGGAAAAACUGAACAGAAAAAAGGGUCUAUAAAUUAAUUUUGAAAUGUUCUCUCCUUCUCUUGAUUGGGAUCUGAGGGAAGAUGAAGCAGGUAAGAAUCUGAAUUCAUCUUAUGCUGAGAGGCCAAAUUUUAUGUCACCAAGGAAAGUCUUUGACUAGAUAUACAACAGUUUGAUUAGUUGAUAACAGUUGUAAACUGUGCCAACUACUGAGAGUCUUUUUCACCUUAAUUUUGUACCAUAAAUAUCCUCUGAUUUUAACAACUGAGUCAAGGCCAAAAAUGAAUGUCCAACAGUUUCUUGGAUUUCUAAGGCUUAAGUACCAUGUAGUUAUGAACGAAAGUUUGUGCUUUCCUGGAAUAGCAAAGGAAUUGGAUUUUCAGUGCUUACCUGCUGGUAAGAUCCCAAAGGCUCUCCCAGCUGGGAUGUUGCCCCAGGUAUCAAAGGGAGGAGACAAAGCAGAGCACUGUUCAGCUACUCCCUUGAAUUUGAGAUAUACAGAUUUGUGCUCUGUGCAGACUCACUAGCAACAGCCAUUGCUCUCCACUUUUCCUGUAACUAUGUGGGUUACUCAUAUGUCCAUAGUGAACAUGAGGUUAUAGAGUCUCCUUUGGCUGGUUCUUCAUUGCCUUCCCAUUAACAUAUUAGAAAGUUGGUAUUUUGGCUACAUCUUGUCCUAACAUGCUGGGAGAAGAUUAAGUGCUAAAUGUUCAUUUUUGCUCACUUUCAUUCCACAGUGAAAUCUAAGAGAAGAGUUUUCACCUGUACUUAGAACAGGAAAUGACUGUGGGACAAGCUAGCAAAUGUUGACUUGUCAAAGGCUAAGUGGGUACGCAUGUAUGUUCUUGCAUAUGCAAAAGAUGAACUCCAAUUGGAACUUUUAUUUGUGUACAUCAGUAGGAGGAGGUCAUUAUUUUAUCUUAUUUAAAUUCAGAAAUGUAACUUGAAUGUACCAAUUUAUUCCAGAUUCAAUAAUGUGUAUCUUGUUCCAGUUUUCUUUUCCUGACAACUAUUAGUCUCAUAACUGUAGAUGAUGUAUUUACCUGCAUACCUCUAAAAAUGGUUCUCAUUUUAGCAG